CCUACGGGAUGCAGCAGUGGGGAAUAUUGCACAAUGGGGGAAACCCUGAUGCAGCGACGCCGCGUGAGCGAUGACGUAUUUCGGUAUGUAAAGCUCUAUCAGCAGGGAAGAAAAUGACGGUACCUGACUAAGAAGCCCCGGAUGACUACGUGCCAGAAGCCGCGGUAAGACGUAGGGGGCAAGCGUUAUCCGGCUUUACUGGGUGUAAAGGGAGCGUAGACGGCGGUGCAAGCCAGAUGUGAAAGCCCGGGGCUCAACCCCGGGACUGCCUUUGGAACUGUGCUGCUAGAGUGUCGGAGAGGCAGGCGGAAUUCCUAGUGUAGCGGUGAAAUGCGUAGAUAUUAGGAGGAACACCAGUGGCGAAGGCGGCCUGCUGGACGAUGACUGACGUUGAGGCUCGAAAGCGUGGGAAGCAAACAGGAUUAGAUACCCGAGUAGUC
rnacentral:rRNA from 1 species